CCUACGGGCGGCAGCAGUGAGGAAUAUUGGUCAAUGGACGAGAGUCUGAACCAGCCAAGUAGCGUGAAGGAUGACUGCCCUAUGGGUUGUAAACUUCUUUUAUAUGGGAAUAAAACGUUCCACGUGUGGGAUUUUGUAUGUACCAUAUGAAUAAGGAUCGGCUAACUCCGUGCCAGCAGCCGCGGUAAUACGGAGGAUCCGAGCGUUAUCCGGAUUUAUUGGGUGUAAAGGGAGCGUAGGUGGAUUGUUAAGUCAGUUGUGAAAGUUUGCGGCUCAACCGUAAAAUUGCAGUUGAUACUGGCAGUCUUGAGUACAGUAGAGGUGGGCGGAAUUCGUGGUGUAGCGGUGAAAUGCUUAGAUAUCACGAAGAACUCCGAUUGCGAAGGCAGUUCACUGGACUGCAACUGACACUGAGGCUCGAAAGUGUGGGUAUCAAACAGGAUUAGAUACCCCUGUAGUC
rnacentral:rRNA from 1 species